ensembl:snoRNA SNORD83 Small nucleolar RNA SNORD83
GCCACAUGAUGAGCUCAUAGAUGCAGCAGCUCUCGGGCAGUGAUGACCUGCUAUCUAUCACCCUUUUCUGAUGGCU